AUUGAACGCUGGCGGCAGGCCUAACACAUGCAAGUCGAGCGAGCGGCGGACGGGUGAGUAAUGUAUGGGGACUGCCCGAUAGAGGGGGAUAACUACUGGAAACGGUGGCUAAUACCGCAUACUCUCGGAUAACCCAUAUGGGAUUAGCUAGUAGGUGGGGUAAAGGGUCACCGAGGCGACGAUCUCUAGCUGGUCUGAGAGGAGGAUCAGCCACACUGGGACUGAGACACGUCCCAGACCCCUACGCUGGCAGCAGUGGGGAAUAUGGCAGAAUGGGCGCAAACCUGAUGCAGCCAUGCCGCUGGUAUUAAGAAGGCCUGAGGGUUGUAAAGUACUUUCAGCGGGGAGGCGUUACCCGCAGAAGAAGCACCGGCUAACUCCGUGCCAGCAGCCGCGGUAAUAC
rnacentral:rRNA from 1 species